rnacentral:rRNA from 1 species
GGCGAAGCGGGGGGGACACAUGCAGUCGAGCGGAGAGACAGAAGCUUGCUACCGAUCUUAGCGGCGGACGGGUGAGUAAUGCUUAGGAAUCUGCCUAUUAGUGGGGGACAACAUUUCGAAAGGAAUGCUAAUACCGCAUACGUCCUACGGGAGAAAGCAGGGGAUCUUCGGACCUUGCGCUAAUAGAUGAGCCUAAGUCGGAUUAGCUAGUUGGUGGGGUAAAGGCCUACCAAGGCGACGAUCUGGAGCGGGUCUGAGAGCUAGAUCCGCCACACUGGGACUGAGACACGGCCCAGACUCCUACGGGAGGCAGCGGUGGGGAAUAUUGGACAAUGGGCGCAAGCCUGAUCCAGCCAUGCCGCGUGUGUGAAGAAGGCCUUAUGGUUGUAAAGCACUUAAAGCGAGGGGGAGGCUACUUUAGUUAAUACCUAGAGAUAGUGGACGUAACUCGCAGAAUAAGCACCGCCUAACUCUGUGCCAGCAGCCGCGUUUAAGACAAGGGGAGGAAGCUUUAAUCGAAUUUACUGGACGCAAAGGCCCCGCAGCCUGAAAAUUAACCCAAAUGUGAAAUCCCGGAGCUUACUUGGGAACUUGCACUCCAUACGGGUUAGUUAGAGGGUGGGAAAGGAUAGUAAAAUCCCAGGGGCCGCGGUGAAAAGGAGUAAAGAUCUGAAGGAAAUACCGAAGCCGAAGGCCGCCUCUCUGGGUCCAACCCCUGACGCUGAGGCGCGAAAGUUGGGGGAACAAACAGGAAUUAGAUACUCUGAUAGGCCAUUCCCGUAAAAGAAGUCAACUGUCCGUGGGGGCCUUGGGAGCUUUACGUGCCCCGCCCAAAGUCAAACUAGCCCCGCCCGGAGGGAACUCCCCCGAAAAGAACAACUCAAAUGAAAUUUCGGGUGCCCCGACCAGCCGGUGGAGCUUGUGUUUAAUUCAACGCAAUCAGAACAACCCUUACCUUGUCUUGGACAUAGUGAGGACUUUACAGUAGUGGGAUGGGGUAGCUCUCCGGAAACAUAGACCACAGCGCCCGGGAUGCUAAUCGCACAGCCCCUGUCCUCGGCGGCGUAGGAUUAUAUCCCCGCAAACGGCCUCAACCCUAUUCCUUAUUUGGCAGCUAAUAGGUCCGCAACUUGAACGAAAACUCGCCCGUGCACACACUCGAGAAGGCUGUGACAGCCUCAGGCCUACUCCAUGGCCCUUAGACGCCCUACAGGGCUCUGACUGAC